GACGAACGCUGGCGGCGUGCCUAAUACAUGCAAGUUGAGCGCUGAAGGUUGGUACUUGUACCAACUGGAUGAGCAGCGAACGGGUGAGUAACGCGUGGGGAAUCUGCCUUUGAGCGGGGGACAACAUUUGGAAACGAAUGCUAAUACCGCAUAAAAACUUUAAACACAAGUUUUAAGUUUGAAAGAUGCAAUUGCAUCACUCAAAGAUGAUCCCGCGUUGUAUUAGCUAGUUGGUGAGGUAAAGGCUCACCAAGGCGAUGAUACAUAGCCGACCUGAGAGGGUGAUCGGCCACAUUGGGACUGAGACACGGCCCAAACUCCUACGGGAGGGAGCAGUAGGGAAGCUUCGGCAAUGGACGAAAGUCUGACCGAGCAACGCCGCGUGAGUGAAGAAGGUUUUCGGAUCGUAAAACUCUGUUGGUAGAGAAGAACGUUGGUGAGAGUGGAAAGCUCAUCAAGUGACGGUAACUACCCAGAAAGGGACGGCUAACUACGUG
rnacentral:rRNA from 1 species